rnacentral:sRNA from 1 species
UUUCCGAAAGACGAGUCCCCUGAGUGGGAUU